rnacentral:rRNA from 1 species
UACGUAGGGUGCAAGCGUUGUCCGGAAUUAUUGGGCGUAAAGAGCUCGUAGGCGGUCUGUCGCGUCUGCUGUGAAAACUCAGGGCUUAACCCUGAGCUUGCAGUGGGUACGGGCAGACUAGAGUGCGGUAGGGGAGACUGGAAUUCCUGGUGUAGCGGUGAAAUGCGCAGAUAUCAGGAGGAACACCGGUGGCGAAGGCGGGUCUCUGGGCCGGUAUUGACGCUGAUGCGCGAAAGCCAGGGGAGCAAACGGG